GAUGAACGCUGGCGGCGUGCCUAAUACAUGCAAGUCGAGCGCCCCGCAAGGGGAGCGGCAGACGGGUGAGUAACGCGUGGGAACGUACCCUUUGCUACGGAAUAGCUCCGGGAAACUGGAAUUAAUACCGUAUGUGCCCUACGGGGGAAAGAUUUAUCGGCAAAGGAUCGGCCCGCGUUGGAUUAGCUAGUUGGUGGGGUAAUGGCCUACCAAGGCGGCGAUCCAUAGCUGGUCUGAGAGGAUGAUCAGCCACAUUGGGACUGAGACACGGCCCAAACUCCUACGGGAGGCAGCAGUGGGGAAUAUUGGACAAUGGGCGCAAGCCUGAUCCAGCCAUGCCGCGUGAGUGAUGAAGGCCUUAGGGUUGUAAAGCUCUUUCACCGGAGAAGAUAAUGACGGUAUCCGGAGAAGAAGCCCCGGCUAACUUCGUGCCAGCAGCCGCCGUAACAC
rnacentral:rRNA from 1 species